CCGUGUUAUCUAGAUUACUCCGCCAGGCUCCCGAAAGAGGAAUCACGAAUGAGAAUAGAGGAACAUUUCUGCACAAUACAGAUCGAACAACCCCGUGGAGGCACAUGGGCAGUUGCUCGACGGAUUUCUACUGGGAAGCGGCCUCUGGCACAUGUCAGCCUUGUAAUGAACUCUGUCAUCAAGCAGAGGUCAGAGGGACUGUCGAACCCUGCAGGAGACUAUGUCCAGUAUCGCUACCGGAGGCUGCGACAGCAACACUCACUGCUCCAGCUACAACAACAUCUGCAACCCUACCAUCACACGAUAUCUCAAGCAGUGAACACUAUUGGUAUUCGGCGGCAGAAUAUGCUGUCACUAUACUGGCAGUGGGCAUCGUCCUGAUUUCUCUGGUGUCCUUAACAGUUCUGCUGAGGAAAGAAAUUCAGUCGCUCUUUUCCCAAAAAUAUACCAGUCAGAGAAAGCACAGUUCUAUGGAAUCCGAGAAGUGACAUUGUCGCUAUGUCGCAUUGUUGCCCUCUCAAAAACAAGUAAAGUCAGGCAAAAUAAACCAAAACGCGACACGCGACAUCGCAACAACGCGACAUUUCGCCCAUUUGUCGCAUUGCGACAAUGUCCCUUCCAGGAUUCCAUAGAAUAUACAUGUAUAGUUUCACAUUAAAUCUGUAAGGCUCAUUUUCCAAAACAUCUAGAAUAUCAUUUGGAUAAUUUCGUUUUUAGAUAUGAUAAUUAAUUGUAUGAUGCACAUUGCACUUUACUCAUGAAGAAUAAAACAAAUAAAGAAUGGUAUUUUGCGUUGCGUUUUGUCAUCAAUGAAAAUCGCUGAACAUUAUGGAGAGUUGAUUAAAUACAGUCGUGUGGUCAUACUUGCUGGGGGCAUUUAUUCGACUAUGUGGAUAUUAGUUCUGAUUUAAUCUAUAACAUGGUGAGUGAGUUUACCAUAUAACAUACAACAAAUCGUUACACCCAGUCAGUUGGUAUUUGAAGUAGCAAUAAAUGGACUAAACCGAUAUCUGAAGUCUGCAGCCUUGGUCCAGGGAUCUUGUGAGCAAAGAUCUGUCACACUUAGGAUGUGUCUUUAGUUCCUGUGAACAGGAAAUUACAUAACAAUUAAGAUAGAAAGCUACAAGUUGGGUUUUCCCAUUUACGUCACUGUCACGUGACUAAAUAUCGGUGGCGUGAGCUAUAGAGGUCAUACGCAAGGUAAUCCAGGAUAUAUAGCAUGGUGAAUCUUUCUCAAAGCACCAUAAUGUUCGUCUCCACCACCAGACACAGGAGGGUCCCCACACACCUCCUUAAUCAGAGCUGGGGUAACGUGACACUGGAAAGAAGACUUCAUUUGGAUAGGAUUUAUCACUGUCAUGCCCGACUCAGUCGAAACAGAUUUUCGAAGGGCAUUGGUUAAGCCUAGUUCGAACAUAGUAGGAUUCGUGUUGGCGUCUGUGUUCCUAUGCACAGUACUAGGGAAGCCGAUAUGUGAAGUAGGGACGUACUAUGAUACUGGAACCGACAACUGUGACCCUUGCAGUCAUAUAUGUGAGAACUCCGAGGUGCAAAAAACAACAGCCGAAUGCGAAACUAAAUGUCCAGGAUAUGGUCGCAGAGAAUCUCCACACGGAAGGAAAUGCCCAUAUCUACACUAUUAUGAUGCCGUUGUGUCUCGAUGUGACUCCUGUGAGGGUCUCUGCAUCCAUCUUGGAUCACAUGAACGGGACCAUGAAGAAAAAUGUCGACGUCACUGCCCUGAGUGGCCUGGUAAUAGCACUACAACUGUCUCUCCACAAGACUCAACCAUGACAAAUUCUCAGAACAAAUCACUCGUCACCUACAACCUACCUUACUCAUUGGUCAUCCUACUUGCUACGUGUGUGGUGGCGGUUGCUGCAGUUGGCGUUCUGUGUGUGUUCUUGAUCAGGAGGAAGAAGUGUUUCUGUCAGCGUCCAUCUAAACCCAUACCAGAACUCCUGACUGGCGAAGGAAACCCUCUAACACAUCCCGAGGAUGACCAUCAGGGUGAUGGAAGAUGUCUAACCCAUUCAGUGUAAUAUAUAAAACAGGUUCAAAAUAAACAAGUUUAAAAAUUCA